rnacentral:rRNA from 1 species
GCGCGAAAACUUUACAAUGCUGGCAACAGCGAUAAGGGAACCUCGAGUGCCAGGUUACAAAUCUGGCUGUCGUGAUGCCUAAAAAGCAUUAUAUAGCAAGGGCCGGGCAAGACCGGUGCCAGCCGCCGCGGUAACACCGGCGGCUCGAGUGGUAACCGUUAUUAUUGGGUCUAAAGGGUCUGUAGCCGGCCGGAUAAGUCUCUUGAGAAAUCUGGCAGCUUAACUGUCAGGCUUUCAGGAGAUACUGUCUGGCUUGAGGCCGGGAGAGGUGAGAGGUACUUCAGGGGUAGGGGUGAAAUCUUGUAAUCCUUGAAGGACCACCAGUGGCGAAGGCGUCUCACCAGAACGGACCUGACGGCAAGGGACGAAAGCUAGGGGCACGAACCGGAUUAGAUACCCU